rnacentral:rRNA from 1 species
AAUAGAUACCCGGGUAGUCCACGCCGUAAACGAUGAGUGCUAAGUGUUAGGGGUUUCCGCCCCUUAGUGCUGCAGCUAACGCAUUAAGCACUCCGCCUGGGGAGUACGGCCGCAAGGCUGAAACUCAAAGGAAUUGACGGGGGCCCGCACAAGCGGUGGAGCAUGUGGUUUAAUUCGAAGCAACGCGAAGAACCUUACCAGGUCUUGACAUCUCCUGACCGCCCUGGAGACAGGGUCUUCCCUUCGGGGACAGGAUGACAGGUGGUGCAUGGUUGUCGUCAGCUCGUGUCGUGAGAUGUUGGGUUAAGUCCCGCAACGAGCGCAACCCUUGUCCUUAGUUGCCAGCAUUCAGUUGGGCACCCUAAGGAGACUGCCGGCUAAAAGUCGGAGGAAGGUGGGGAUGACGUCAAAUCAUCAUGCCCCUUAUGACCUGGGCUACACACGUGCUACAAUGGGCGGUACAGAGGGUUGCGAACCCGCGAGGGGGAGCCAAUCCCAAAAAGCCGCUCUCAGUUCGGAUUGCAGGCUGCAACUCG